rnacentral:rRNA from 1 species
AUUGAACGCUGGCGGCAGGCCUAACACAUGCAAGUCGAACGAGUGGCGGACGGGUGCGUAAUGUAUGGGAAACUGCCUGAUGGAGGGGGAUAACUACUGGAAACGGUAGCUAAUACCGCAUACCAUCAGAUGUGCCCAGAUGGGAUUAGCUUGUUGGUGGGGUAAAGGCUCACCAAGGCGACGCUCCCUAGCUGGUCUGAGAGGAUGACAAGCCAAACUGGAAAUGAGACACGGUCCAGACUCCUACGGGAGGCAGAAGUGGGGAAUAUUGCAGAAUGGGCGCAAGCCGGAUGCAGCAAUGCCGCGUGUAUGAAGAGGGUCUUAGGGUUGUAAAGUACUUUCAGCGGGGAGGCGUUACCCGCAGAAGAAGCACCGGCUAACUCCGUGCCAGCAGCCGCGGUAAUAC